CAUGCAAGUCGAGCGGUAACAUAUAGUAGCUUGCUACUUUGCUGACGAGCGGCGGACGGGUGAGUAAUGCUUGGGAACAUGCCUUGAGGUGGGGGACAACAGUUGGAAACGACUGCUAAUACCGCAUAAUGUCUACGGACCAAAGGGGGCUUCGGCUCUCGCCUUUAGAUUGGCCCAAGUGGGAUUAGCUAGUUGGUGAGGUAAUGGCUCACCAAGGCGACGAUCCCUAGCUGGUUUGAGAGGAUGAUCAGCCACACUGGGACUGAGACACGGCCCAGACUCCUACGGGAGGCAGCAGUGGGGAAUAUUGCACAAUGGGCGCAAGCCUGAUGCACCCAUGCCGCGUGUGUGAAGAAGGCCUUCGGGUUGUAAAGCACUUUCAGUCAGGAGGAAAGGUUAGUAGUUAAUACCUGCUAGCUGUGACGUUACUGACAGAAGAAGCACCGGCUAACUCCGUGCCAGCAGCCGCGGUAAUACGGAGGGUGCGAGCGUUAAUCGGAAUUACUGGGCGUAAAGCGUACGCAGGCGGUUUGUUAAGCGAGAUGUGAAAGCCCCGGGCUCAACCUGGGAACUGCAUUUCGAACUGGCAAACUAGAGUGUGAUAGAGGGUGGUAGAAUUUCAGGUGUAGCGGUGAAAUGCGUAGAGAUCUGAAGGAAUACCGAUGGCGAAGGCAGCCACCUGGGUCAACACUGACGCUCAUGUACGAAAGCGUGGGGAGCAAACGAGAUUAGAUACCCUGGUAGUCCACGCCGUACACGAUGUCUACUAGAAGCUCGGAGCCUCGGCUCUGUUUUUCAAAGCUAACGCAUUAAAGUAGACCGCCUGGAGUGUACGAGCCGCAAGGUUAAAACUCAAAUGAAUUUGACGGGGGCCCGCACAAGCGGUGGAGCAUGUGGUUUUAAUUUCGAUGCAC
rnacentral:rRNA from 1 species